UUAGCAUAUCAAUAAGCGGAGGAAAAGAAACUAACAAGGAUUCCCCUAGUAACUGCGAGUGAAGCGGGAAAAGCUCAAAUUUAAAAUCUGGCGGUCUCUGGCCGUCCGAGUUGUAAUCUAGAGAAGUAAUGCCUGUGCUGGACCGUGUACAAGUCCCCUGGGAUGGGGCAUCAUAGAGGGUGAGAAUCCCGUCUCUGACACGGACUCCCAGUGCGUUGUGGUAUGCUCUCGAAGAGUCGAGUUGUUUGGGAAUGCAGCUCAAAAUGGGUGGUAAAUUCCAUCUAAAGCUAAAUAUUGGCGAGAGACCGAUAGCGAACAAGUACCGUGAGGGAAAGAUGAAAAGAACUUUGGAAAGAGAGUUAAACAGUACGUGAAAUUGCUGAAAGGGAAACGCUUGAAGUCAGUCGCGUUGGCCAGGGAUCAGCCUCGCUUUUGCGUGGUGUACUUUCUGGUCGACGGGUCAGCAUCAAUUUCGAUCGCCGGAAAAGGGCCUGGGGAAUGUGGCAGCUUCGGCUGUGUUAUAGCCCCUGGUCACAUACGGCGGUUGGGAUUGAGGAACUCAGCACGCCGCAAGGCCGGGUUUCGACCACGUCCGUGCUUAGGAUGCUGGCAUAAUGGCUUUAAGCGACCCGUCUUGAAACACGGACCAAGGAGUCUAACAUGCCUGCGAUG
rnacentral:rRNA from 1 species